AUGUUUGUUUGGACACAUCCAUGUGAAAGUUGGUUUGAAACCAUGGUUUUCUUGCACAGGGAACUGAAUUUCUUAUGCUUUUACUUGAUCUUCCUUCUCAAAAUCAUGGAGUUUUUUUUACUUGAUUUGGGAGAUUUAGAGGGAAAGGGCAAGGGAGAUAGUCAACAAGGUUUGCACAUGGGAGAGGAGAAGGAUUUCUUACCUUGGCGUUGCUUGGUAAGCUUCUCUUCUCUUCUUCCUGUUUUUCUGACCAAGAUCUCCUCACCUUGGUUGCUUUGCCAUGGCAGCUCUACAGGAUCUGGUUCAUGGCAUUGGAUCUGGUUUCUUUCAUGA
rnacentral:rRNA from 1 species